CCUACGGGAGGCAGCAGUGGGGAAUAUUGCACAAUGGGGGGAACCCUGAUGCAGCGACGCCGCGUGAGUGAAGAAGGAUUUCGGUAUGUAAAGCUCUAUCAGCAGGGAAGAAAAGUCCGGUACCUGACUAAGAAGCCCCGGCCAACUACGUGCCAGCAGCCGCGGUAAUACGAAGGGGGCAAGCGUUAUCCGGAUUUACUGGGGGUAAAGGGAGCGCAUACGGCUGUGCAAGUCGGGAGUGAAAGGCGGGGGCCCAACCCCCGGACUGCUCUGGAAACUGGAAAGCUGGAGUGCGGGAGAGGUAAGCGGAAUUCCUAGUGUAGCGGUGAAAUGCGUAGAUAUUAGGAAGAACACCAGUGGCGAAGGCAGCUUACUGGACUGCAACUGACGUUGAGGCUCGAAAGCGUGGGGAGCAAACAGGAUUAGAUACCCCAGUAGUC
rnacentral:rRNA from 1 species